AUGCAGUCGAGCGGUAAGGCCCCUUCGGGGGUACACGAGCGGCGAACGGGUGAGUAACACGUGAGCAACCUACCCUCAACUUUGGGAUAAGCCUCGGAAACGGGGUCUAAUACCGGAUAAUACUUUUUUUCUCAUGGGAAAGAGUUGAAAGUUCUGGCGGUUGGGGAUGGGCUCGCGGCCUAUCAGCUUGUUGGUGGGGUAAUGGCCUACCAAGGCGUCGACGGGUAGCCGGCCUGAGAGGGCGACCGGCCACACUGGGACUGAGACACGGCCCAGACUCCUACGGGAGGCAGCAGUGGGGAAUAUUGCGCAAUGGACGAAAGUCUGACGCAGCAACGCCGCGUGAGGGAUGACGGCCUUCGGGUUGUAAACCUCUUUCAGCAGGGACGAAGCGAGAGUGACGGUACCUGCAGAAGAAGGACCGGCCAACUACGUGCCAGCAGCCGCGGUAAUACGUAGGGUCCGAGCGUUGUCCGGAAUUAUUGGGCGUAAAGGGCUCGUAGGCGGUUCGUCACGUCGGGAGUGAAAACUCGGGGCUUAACCCCGAGCCUGCUUCCGAUACGGGCAGACUAGAGGUAGGCAGGGGAGAGCGGAACUCCUGGUGUAGCGGUGGAAUGCGCAGAUAUCAGGAAGAACACCGGUGGCGAAGGCGGCUCUCUGGGCCUUACCUGACGCUGAGGAGCGAAAGCGUGGGUAGCGAACAGGAUUAGAUACCCUGGUAGUCCACGCCGUAAACGUUGGGCGCUAGGUGUGGGGGACAUUCCACGUCCUCCGUGCCGCAGCUAACGCAUUAAGCGCCCCGCCUGGGGGAGUACGGCCGCAAGGCUAAAACUCAAAGGAAUU
rnacentral:rRNA from 1 species